rnacentral:ncRNA from 2 species
AGCAGCCGCGGUAAUUCCAGCUCCAAUAGCGUAUAUUAAAGUUGUUGCAGUUAAAAAGCUCGUAGUUGAAUUUCGGGGUUAGUAGGUUGGUCAUGCCUCUGGUAUGUACUGGUCUCACUGAUUCCUCCUUCCUGAUGAACCUUAAUGCCAUUAAUUUGGUGUUUUGGGGAAUUUGGACUGUUACUUUGAAAAAAUUAGAGUGUUUAAAGCAAGCUAACGCUUGAAUACAUUAGCAUGGAAUAAUGAAAUAGGACGUUCGAUCCUAUUUUGUUGGUUUCUAGGAUUGACGUAAUGAUUAAUAGGGAUAGUUGGGGGCAUUAGUAUUCAAUUGUCAGAGGUGAAAUUCUUGGAUUUAUUGAAGACUAACUACUGCGAAAGCAUUUGCCAAGGAUGUUUUCAUUAAUCAAGAACGAAAGUUAGGGGAUCGAAGACGAUCAGAUACCGUCGUAGUCUUAACCAUAAACUAUGCCGACUAGGGAUCGGAUGAUGUUAAUUUUUUAAUGUACUCAUUCGGCGCCUU